rnacentral:lncRNA from 1 species
GCUGAGGAUAUGACAGGAUCUCUACUAAAAGAGUACUUAAUAAAGGAACCAGAUGGCAAUAUUCGUAAUAAAGAAGAAACAGGUGCACCUGUAGACAAAUCACUAGAUGCUGAAGAUUGAAAGAUGCAUCAUUUUGAUAAUGUUGUCAUUGUGGAACCCGCCUCAUUCUGGACUUCAUCCCACUUUGAGUGACACAAUUGACGCGUAG